AGGAAGGAGGAAGGCUAAGAUCCAGGGAGUCUUAAUCACUUCUUCAUUGUUUAUGGCUUUGUGAAUUGCUUUGGAAAAAGGGUUUGAAAUCCUCACAGGGUCUGGCUCACACAAAGCAACAAAUGCCUGUGCUCUUCAUGCAUUCAUUUGGACCAGUGACACAUGUCAGGAUCCUACAUGUUUUAUUAUGAAGAUCCUUUACCUUGCCUGCCUGCUCUUCUGCAUAGCCUUCUUGUUCACUCCAGGAACUGGAAAUAAAAUUAAAACAGAAAAAGAAUGUCAUGCUGCUGAUGGCUACUGCAAGAUGGGGGAAUGUUUAUAUCCCGAAUUUAAGUUCAUUGGAGUCUGUAGGAAAGUUUUUUAUUGCUGUAAAAAGAUUCAAAGGAAACACAAAUCAGUGCACAUACGGUUGCAGACACAUAACAAUGAAAUGUUUUGGGGAAACUAAUUAUGUGAAAACCACUCUGAAGGGAGUAUGCUGCUGUAAAAAAUAUGAGCCUAAAAUUAAUGAUUGAAUGCUUCUGCUUUGGGUUUGAAUACUGAGAAAAGUAAUAAUUGGGACAACAGCCAAGGCUAGAUUCAUUAUCAGAGCAUUUCUUUGUCUCCUCUGCUGUUUCUACUGCUGCUACAGAAGGCAAAAGAUGAAAAAUAAAC